UACAUAGGGAGCAAGCGUUAUCCGGAUUUAUUGGGUGUAAAGGGUGCGUAGACGGGAAAGCAAGUUAGUCGUGAAAUCCCUCGGCUUAACUGAGGAACUGCAACUAAAACUACAUUUCUUGAGUACUGGAGAGGAAAGUGGAAUUCCUAGUGUAGCGGUGAAAUGCGUAGAUAUUAGGAGGAACACCAGUGGCGAAGGCGACUUUCUGGACAGCAACUGACGUUGAGGCACGGAAGUGUGGGGAGCAAAC
rnacentral:rRNA from 1 species